ensembl:lncRNA
AUGACCUGUUCCAGUCUGACCUUGAAUGUGUGAAGUGCCAGUGCCUCACCACCCUUAUUGUAAAAACUAUCUAAAUCUCCCUCUUCUAGUUUGAAACCAUUUCCCCCUGUCCUGUCAUAACAGACCUGGUUAAAGAGUCUGCCCCCUUCCUUUUUUAUAGCUCCCUUUUAGAUACUGAAAGGCUGCUCUCAGGUCUCCUUGGAGCCUUCUAUUCUCCAGGCUGAACAGCCCCAGCUCUCCUAGUCCUCAUAGGGGAGGUGUUCUAUACCUUAGAUCAUUUUUGUGGCUCUCCUCUGGUUGUGCUCCAACAGGUCCACAUCUCUCCUGUACAGAGGACUCCUCAUCUGGACACAGCACUCCAGGUGAGGUCACAUCAGAGCAGAGUAGAGGGCAGGGUCACCUCUCUUUCCCUGCUGACCGCACUGCUGUUGAUGCAGCCCAGGAUAUGGUUGGCUUUCUGGGCUGUGAGCGCACAUUGCUGGCUCAUGUUCAGCUUACCAUCGGCCAGUGUCCCAAGUCCUUUUCACAAGGCUGGGCUGGGCUGUCCUCUAUCCUUUAAUUCCCCAGCUUGUAUUGAUAGUGGGGGGUUGCCAAGACCCAAGUAGAAGACCUUGAACUUGGAUUUGUUGAACCUCAUAAGGCUCUCUUGGGCUCACUAUUCAAGCUUCUCUAGGUUUCCCUGGAUAGCAUCCCAUCUCUCAGGAGUGUUGACUGCACCACGCAGCUUGAUGUCAUAGACUUCGUUAGGAAAACUUGUGUUAAAAAAAAUAUAUUUAUAUAUAUAUAUAUAUACAGAUAUAUAUCUUUUUGAUGAUUGCCUUAUUAUAAAUCAAAUGUUUUAUCUACAAAAUAUCACAGUAGAUCAGCAUAUCAUUUCAUUGCAUUCAAAACUUGCUAGGAUUAAGGAUGAGAACCAUAUUCUUUUCCUAGUUCUCCUAGUUGUGAGAAAUGUUGUGAAUCCACAGCUUGGAUUCAAUGUGGAAAUUACUUAGGACAGCAAAAAUUCAAUAUAUGUAUAUAUUUCCCAAUGAGCCUUUUUGUCCUACUGCUACAUAAAUCUUGAAUAAAACUAGUUUUGUUCUACUGCACUGAAAUCUACAUAUUAAACAUAAAAGCAAAGGAGGCCCUAGGCUAAACUUAAUUAGACAAAGGUGCAGAAACCUUGGUAAAAAUGACUGACAAAUACACUUUUAACUGAUUUCUAUUCAUGUUUGAUUUUUCUUUUGCUAUUUGCUCUAAAAUUCCUGUGAGCACAUUCUCAGCACUGCACCCACGUUAAUACUAACUGAAAAAUAUGUUAAUUUAAAUUCUUAUGUGGGACAUCUAUCUUGCUGGUUUGUUGUGGUUGUUUCUUAUGCAAAAUCAUGAUUUGCUAUAGGUGUCUUCUGAGACCAAACUAGUUUCAUUAAUAAUCAGUAACUAGAGAGCGAAAUUAAAUUACAGAGAUUACAAUUAUCUGGUAUUCUUUUUCUGCUAAAUAUUACCUAAAAUCCUCUUCUAAUUUUUCAGUUGCAAACCUGUUUGAGAUCCUGAAGGAGUAUCAUUGCCUAUGACUCCCUCUAGCGAUUCUGCUAUGAGAAAUGCAGCCAUCUGCAGAUAGCCAUACAAAAUCACCUCAAAUUCUUCAUUAAAUAAAUUAUUUACAUCUUGCAUAUUUUUUUGAAUAAUGGUAAUCACAUUUUCAAUAAAUUAAACUGGUUUUGCAGUGGGUUAAAAUAUUAUUCAAUGUACACUGUUUGGGGAAACAUAUUUUGCAGCAGUUUCAUAUGCAAGAAGCCUUUCUUCCUUCUAUUAAAUGGAAAACUGAUAAACCAGUAGAAAUACAAGCUUUGAUGUUAAAAAUGAAUAGCACUAGUGCAUCCCUUGCUUGAUAUUGUUAAAGGCACUUGAUUUUCAAAAAAUGCUGAGCAUUCUUUGUGGGAUGAUUGGGAAACUUCCACACAAAAAUCACUCUAAAUUAUUUACUGCUUGAUACUGCACAUCACUUUUUGUAUUAAUUUGUGACACAGUAAGACAGAACACCCUAAUGUGAUCAACACACAGCCACUUUACUGGGUGUACCUAUAACUUACAUUCUCUCUAUCAUUAAGAUUCUAAAGUCUUCUUUCCAGUUCUAAUAGUUGCCGACCAUAACCACCCAUUGGUAUUUUUACACUAUCUCAAAAACCUUUUACAAGCAUGUCUUUAAUCUUCAUAAGCAUUUUAACAGUGUGAGUUUUAUUAACUUCUUAUAUUAGAUUUGUUCCACAUAAACUGGCAUAGAGAAAGCUAACAUUUCCCCUGGUCGUAACUGGAUGUCACAUUAGUGGUCAGGUUUGGAAACACCACCAGUCAGUAAACAACAAACAGGGGCCUGCAUUCAGUUUACCACAUGCUCUCUGAGAGAGCUCAAAGCAUCUAGCAAGAGUAAAUGAUAGCCCACUUUUCUCUGCAUUCAGGAGGAUAACAAAUAUAGAUAUUUGUUCAGCAGUUACAAAAGUAACUCUAGAAACAAGAGGAAGUUACCAUCGAAAAAUUAUUUGCUAUAUAUCAUUAUUAUUAAUGAUUUUUGUUCUGAAUAGGAAUUUUCUGCCUGCACGUAUCUCAUGAUUUAACUUUUAUGCAUAUUUCACAGAAGUACAGGUGAUGUUUUGAUGAAAAACAAAAACCACACAUAAAUGCAAUUUCAGAUUUUGUUUGGCAGAACUAUAUUUUCAGCAGGCAGAUAUAGCAUCCAUGAGUAAUAGCCAAGACUUAAAUGAUAGACCAUAAUGUCCUAUGAGGUCAAACAAAAGUCAGGUAAGAGUGAUACAGUAAUCUACACUGUUCCCAUGUGGCAAACUGAAUGCAGGCUCCUGUUUGUUAAUUACUGACUGGUGGUGUUUCCAAACCUGACCAUCAAUGUGACAUCCAGUUAUGACCAGGGGAAAUGUUAGCUUUUCUUGUCAAUAUACCUCUUCAUGCUCUUGUUUUGAAAGGUGUGUUACAUAAUCCUGUGAAAAACUUAAUAAGAAACAUCUUGUUAUAUAAAUUGAAGGAAAGGAAUCUAUAUCUCAGUGCCAUGCAUUUCUGCAUAACUCUGUCUUCCAAAACAAUCCCAAGCAUUUUCCAAUUGAACAACCUCACUCGCUACUAUUAUACAGCAAUCUUUGGAAUGGGAAUUAUUAAGCACUUUGUAGCAGUACACAGCAAGAACUAUUUGCACAGAUUCUCCGCCAGUGUGCUUGCCUCAGACUUUUGUUCAUCAUGGCCUACCAAUUUUGGUUCCUUGGAAAUUUUCAGUACUGUCAUAGUCUAUUGGGUUGUAGGUAGAAGGAAAUAAUCCUGCAGAAACUCAGCUAUAAACCUGCAGUACUGUAAAGUAUGCAGAUAUACCAUAGUCAUGUAGAUUCACUCUGUGAUUUGUUUUCUUUCAUUUAUUUUUUCAUUUACUUACUUACUAUCCUGGAGAGAAGAAUACAGCUCAGUCCCCUACACUUGGUGUUCCAUACAUGCUAAUUUCAGCCAGCAAAAUAAAAAUAAAAAAAAAAAAUAAGUAGAACAUAAACACAAUGAAAAUGUACUCUGAGCUUAAUACAGAUUCCAGUUUGAUUUAGAUGAGGUCUCGAGUCUGGAAUUCAUUCUGCUUCAAGGAAGACUUAGAUGAAAUCUUCAUGACAAAUAUUGUUCUUCAACUGCAUGCAAAACUCAGCUGAAACUAGAAAGAAAAAAAAAAGAGAGAGAGAAAAUAUUUAAGACCAACUGAUAUUUGAAGACCUGUAAUGAGUAUUAAAUAAUAUUUAAUUUUGUUUGUAGGUUGAAAUGAUUAAACAACAGACUACAAUAUGGGAAAAAAAAGAGAAACACCCAGAGUGUGACUUUUCAUAAUCCGAAAUUAAAUAUCCUGAAGUUAUUUGGAAAUAAAGUUAUUAUUUCUUUUUCUUUUAUAGGAAAUCACUGGUAAUUGCAUUAACUCUGAAGGGAUUUUGUAUUUAUAACAGCAGGUAAUAUAAUCGCCUCUUAGUAUCUUUUGUUUUGAAUAUUUGGAAAGGUAUGUAAUCCUUCUAGUGUGCAUCAUUCUGAAAUUUAUAGCUUUCCAGUACAAGCUAAUUUAAAAUAAUGAAAAAAAAUAUUGUUUAUUCUAGCAUUUUUACAUGUCUAGACUGCUUCUUAAACACAAGCUGUGCUGUAAAGUACAGCAAAAGACACAAUAUAUUUCAGUUUUCCUAGUUUGUUUCUAUUUUACAAGACAUAAAUCCCCAAACACUCUUAAAAAUGCAGAGAACACAGAGUAACACUUGUUAAGUUUAUAAAAUUAAUUUAAAUGAAUGCUUUGAGCAUUUUUUUAUUAAUAAAAUAAUUUAUUAUUCUCAAAGACAUGACAAAUAUGUAUUGUACGAAAGGUAUGCAGGAAUUCCUAAGCUAGAGACUCAGUCUGAUUUUUAUCUCAUUUAAGUCAGCUAAAAUAGCAGUGGUACUGUUGCUGGCAUGGCUCCUGACCAGCUCUUGAGUAAUUAAGCAGGGAGCUGGGUUCACAAAUUCCUUUGUGUGCACUGUGUUCAGCUUUGAAUCUUUCUAGCCUCUCGUCUCGCAUUCCCAUUCCAAAGCAUGCCCUUCCGGUGUGAGUGCAUGAACUCUCAAAAUGUUCAGUACAAAAAAAUAAGUUGUUUUAUACAUUAUUCAUGACAUUUAUAAAACACUGUCACUCGACAACUGGGAUGAUGAAGUUUGUAUGUUCUACCUCCUGCUGUUAGGGAUUGGACUUCUUAAGUUUCAUAUUGUAAUCGUUUUGGCAACAAUCCUGCAAGACAGUAACCACCUCUGGUGCCUGGCUGUCACUCAGCGAGGUAUGUUUCAUGAAAGCACAACCCUACUAAAGCCAUACAGUCUGAACUGCCUACAUAUUGGCUUUAGAUGUGUGGUGUCUCCAGCUCUUGGAAUGACAGGAAUAUGUACCUGUUGCCAUUUGGCAGUCGUUCAUCUAGAUUUGUGGCUGUAGCUGUAUAUGUCUGAUAUUUCUAAUUUAUACUGUAUUCAUUUGAUACUGGAUAGCAAUAUUUUCAGUGGUGUAAAGACACGAUUGCAGCAGAAUGUUUCAUAGCUGUUCUGCUCCAGCUCCUCUGAAGUUAGGUUUUCAACUAGCUUGCAUUUUAGGCAUUUAUGAAUCUGAGUGGGGAAAAAAAAAAGUGAUUUGUAAGUUUCUUAGCAAAAAUAGUUUUUCUACGAAUAUUUUAGAAAAGUUGCUCGGCUAUUAUAAAUUAUAGUUCACUGCAAAGGAGGGAACUCUAAAAGAACAACUGUAUUCAAUGUUAAGUCCAGAUAGAGUAUCAACUGUCAUUUACGAAGUAUUGUGCAACCCAGGUAAGGAUUGCCCCUACAAAAGGUAAAACUAGGGAAUAUGUAAUAUCAAAAAGCAGAAGUAAAAGCGGUUCUCAUGCUCAGGGAUCCCAAGUGAGAUUUAUUUUACAUUUCCAGUAAAUGAGGAUGAUGGAAAAUGGAGAAAAUGGAAACUAAUUUUCAAAUAUGUGCUCAGAAAAUAACUUGGGAUUGAGGCAAAAUCCUGUUAAAAGAUGUAGUAAAGUGCAGCUACAAUUUGUUUUCUGCGUUCUUCUGUUGCUCUGAAGAGAAACAAAAAGAAACAAAGCAAAGCUACGCAAGGCCUUCAGCAGAAAGACCUCCAACCUUAUCUGUCACACUUGCAAAAGUAGCUCCCUUUUGUUCUCUAUGCCAGUCUCCACAUAUACCCCCUCCCCAGUAGUCAGGGGAAGGCUUUGUCUCUUAUUUUCCUUCAUAGAGACAUAAAAGUGAAUUACAGUAUUUCCUGGAGACUGUCAUCUGCUGUGGUCUCCCCAUGACUUAUCUGAGUGGCCAAAGUACGGCCGCUCAAGCAAUAUAUUUUGUAUGACCUUUGGAAAAAUGCUGAGAAUUCAUUGCAUGGCCAGUGCAUUUUUAUUACGAGGUUAUUCUAUAACAGCUCUAAAGCCAACAGUUGUAUAAUAUCUAUGAGGCUUUUCUCCUUUUGUUCUGAGAAGUUUACAAAAAGUCAGUGUGAAGAGAAAACAUAGAAACAGCAAUCCGGGAAAGGCAGGGACAGCUCCCAGAGCUGCAAGGCAGUGCCUGGAGCCAGCCAGCACCGUAGUCACAGGGGCCAGAAUUACACAAAACGCUGUAAAUCAGCCACCGCACAUACAGCAUCCUCCCCAACAACUGAAGAAGAAGAAUCAGCUGAAGUUUCUGUAUGGAAACCAUAUUUCUGAGAGUUUUUCUCUGAAGUACAAGUCUUACAAAGGAAGCAAGCUUGACCUUCACAGUAUGCAAAACUUUGGCUCUGGUCCUAGCUCUUUUCACAUGUGAAUAGUUCCUGUGGGGCCUCCUCAUGUGCUUAGAGUAACAAGCAAUUGCAGGAUUUAGACCUUGAUCUGAAUCAAGGGUAGCGGCAAUACCUUUCAAUAUGAGGAAAUAUUUUCGUCCUUAGUAAAGUGAUGCUACAUGGACAUAGUUAAUCCUACCCUGCCUUUGCCUCCUCAUAAAAGUGAGAAACCUCUUUUGUUUUGUUGAGGGUGUUUGUCCUUUUUAGAGGUAGCAGUUUGCCUCCCAAAUCGGUUACGUGAGCCAUCAAUGCCUUGAGCUAUUUUUUUUUUUUUAAGUUACUUUUAACUGCAAUAACAGCAUUCACUAUCUUCAACUUUUGGCUAUGUAUUUCAAACAUAGUUCAAACAGAACUGUUGGAUCCAUGGCAGCUCAUCCUCAAGUAGCACUGUGAGGCACCCACCCACCCCGGCACACUGCCUGCUUCCCUUCUGGGAACAGCUGCCGCUCCUGUGGCUGAGCGCUCUGGCUCAGGACAAACCACCAUGUAGGCCAGUAUGUCUCCCUGUAAUAAUCAAACUUCUUUCAGGAAAGCAUAUAUUCAACUAACAAUUUUUAUUUGAACGUAUUACUAGGAGAGGGGUCACGUGUCCAGAUAUCUCUUGACUCUUUAUAAGUGCAAAACUGUUGUCUGGUAGAAUACGCCUUCAUGGACUUGACUGGUUUAGAAAUCAUUGUAAUGACAGCCAAGUGAAACAGGUAUUAAAAGGACUGACAACCACUAUUAAUCUGUAUGCCACCAUCACGAUGUGCACCAAACGUAGCUGCACACUGCUCUCAUAUUUUGACCUUUUGCUGUUGUUCCCAUAUGUUUAUUUCACACAGUAUUGAAGAAAAUCAGAAACGUUGGUAAAGAAGUGGAAGCGGCUUGUGGGCACUGAGCACUGCUCUGCACUGCAGCUGGGACACCAACUCCUGGUUGUGGGUAAUGUUCUGUUCGUGCAAAAUGAGGCACCUCUGCUCCCUAUAUAUAUGGCACCAAAAAAAUGAAGCGACAGCCAAUUCGCUGCAUUCAUAGAAUAUAGCACCCAGUGUGGCAAAAUACCAUGGCUCAAACUCAGGCAACUGAAAUACAACAGGGAAAUAUAACCUAGAAGAAAAGGAAUUACGUCUGUUCUGUAGCAGUUUGGCAUGGUUAAUGGCCAUGCAAUUGUUCACUCCAGGUCCAUAUUCAAGGAAUCUCAUUGAAUGUAUGAGUUAACAAGUAAAAAUGGAUACAGUUCACCGAAUGACUGGGGAUUUUUACAGGCUGCUGUUAGAGCUCUCCUCUCUCUUAGAUACUUCUUUCUUCUUCUUCUUCUUUUUUUUUUUUUUUUUUUUUUUUUUUUUUCAGAGAAAUUGUGUUGUUGAAGCUACAUUUAGCUAUAAAUUGAGACGUUACCUACCCGCUGCUUUGGUGAACAAGGUGAAUUAAAGCUCUUGUGUACAUUUUCACACCAUUUUUAAAGAAGGACACGUAAAAUUUUGUGCUGUUAGGGUAAGUGCAAUUUCUUGUCUUGUUCAUCAAGAAAGAGUUCAAAUCCAGUUGCAAAGUACAGAGAAAAUGCUAAAUUAGUUACAAAUAAUUAUUGUGUUUGCUAUGAAGCGCCUACUGCAAGCAUUUGGCAAAACAGUGCAAAUACUUCAAGAUACUCAAAUUAUUAAAAUAAAUGCAGCAAAUUAGGUAUUAAUUAAAAUGUACGUUCACGCUAGCACUCAUAAACGGCAGAACUCACCGACACACUCACACGUGGCACUUUCCGCACACAGACCCUACGGCUUUGGCAGAGGCUGUCGCCCCGGGGCACGGCCAGCGGUUCCCGAGCGCGGGGCGACG